rnacentral:lncRNA from 1 species
UACAUAGUUUGCAUUCAGGUGAUGGCAGAUGUAAUCACAAUUUUUUCUUCCUUUUCCAGAAAGAAGUGAUGGAGUCAUUAGUUUCACUCAUCUGGCUAAUAGGGCAGCAGAACAGCUGAUCCUCCUGGGUCUGGAGAUUCCUUCCUGAUGUCUCUCCUGCUCAGUGUUACACAACUCAGCAGAAUAUUGAGACGCAGUGGAAGAGCUGUUGCACGUAAGCUGGUCUUCAGAAACAAGACAGCAGAGGAGGUUGUGGGAAGAGUCCACGGUUUUUAGAAGGACAUAUGUGUGCAGAUUAAACAAAACUGAGACCUGUGACCUUCAAGGAUGCUGAUGUGUAAUGCUGUAAGCUGACUGGAUUGGUGGAAAAAAGAAAAAGGUUGGUAAGAAUGUAUCCCAAAAUAUACCAUACUGUGCUGGGGUAGAAAAUGAGUAUCAUUUUUAAUAUAAUAGGUAGAAAUGUUCUUUUUCAAAUGUGACUGCUAUCACAUUUUUGUCUGAUUUUUUUUUUUUUAAGUGCAGACUUUUAAUCUUCCUAGGUGAUGCAACACCACCUUUGCUACCAUCUCUGCAACCUAGCAAAAUCCUGGCUACAUUUUGGUAUCUCUGCUUAUCUAUUGUGACUCACAAAAGAGCUUUUCCACUAGUACUGUGUACAAUCAAAGCUAAAAAUAAUUUUCUGUAAAGGGACAAAAACUCCAUCAGAUAGGAAGUGUUUUUAUUAAGCAUUGUGAGUUUGCUUUGCUUUGUUUUUAAUUUCAGGAGACUCAGUCAUAGAAACAGCUGCUUCUUUCAUACAAGACUUGCCCGGGAGCAAAUCAAUGCAUUUAAUUUGAUUCUGGAACUAGCUGCACAGUUAAUAAUGCCUCAAGACUGUAAGCAAAUCUCUAAAUCUGUAUCUCUAAUAUUCAGAUUCCCUUUCCCCGGAAAAAAAAAAAAUUAAAAAUUAAAAAAAUCUGCAUUUCAUCAAAUCCAUAUUAAGAAGGUUAUGCAAGCUAGUUAUAAGAGAAGAGGCCCAACCCUGGUGCUGUUCUGAGAAGCUGCAAAAAUAAGGUGUAGAAGUACCCCAAAGACUACGCUGCAUGUCGUCAUAGUCCUACAAGAUAGUCCGCUCUUAAAUGCGGAGAUGUAAGUAUGCUAUUUCAUGUAUGCUGGUGAUGGUCAUACCCAAUCCUUUGGGCUCUUGACUCUGUAGUGAUGUGCUCCUACAUGCUUUGGAUGGGGAGGCAGAAUAAGGGCAGAAAGCUUCUCCUUUUCAUUGUUUCUCUGCUCUGAUUUUUUGGAAAUGAUGGCACAUCCUGGACACAUUCAUGCUUUGCACGACUAC